AUCGCCUACGGGAGGCAGCAGUGAGGAAUAUUGGUCAAUGGCCGGAAGGCUGAACCAGCCAAGUCGCGUGAGGGACGACUGCCCUAUGGGUUGUAAACCUCUUUUAUAAGGGAAGAAUAAAUGCUACGUGUAGCAUGAUGCCUGUACCUUAUGAAUAAGCAUCGGCUAACUCCGUGCCAGCAGCCGCGGUAAUACGGAGGAUGCGAGCGUUAUCCGGAUUUAUUGGGUUUAAAGGGUGCGUAGGCGGGAGAUCAAGUCAGCGGUAAAAAUGCGGGGCCCAACCCCGUCGAGCCGUUGAAACUGGU
rnacentral:rRNA from 1 species